CGCCGAGCGGCGCCGCGCUUUCUGUGAGGCCCGCCUGUCGCUUGCGGGUCCUACCCGCGCUCGUCGCCCUCGCGCCGGCCCCGCAGCCGGCGCGUCCAGCCGGCGCCUCGGUCUCGCCUUCCGCGAAGGCGGCCCGAUCUGCCCUUCACAGCCGCCUCUGUCCACUAAGGUCACCGAGGGGCCCGAGGCGCCACCGGCCCUUCUCGGAGGCCCUCGCUCCUCCCGCUCCAUUCCCCCAAAUGCUCUGGACUCCCGGGAUGCUCUGGGGACAGGACAGACGCGGUCCCUGCUGCCACGAAAGUCCCUGCUUGCAGACUGUUGGAAUUGAGAAUCUCGAAGCAGAGAAGAAGAAGAACUACACGCGAUCAUUGCUAUGAAAGAAACAUGGUCCCGUAGAGAGAAAAGCCGAUUUUAGGUGGGCCAACUUAGGCCCUUUGGUCUCCACCACGCCUCCCACCCGUGUCUUGGUGCGGGGACGUGAGCAUAAUCGCAUAUUUCCGUGUCUUUGAAGGUAUAUGGGGGGCAACACCCCCGCCGCCCCCCGACGGGAUCCCUGCACAGGACCUGGCAUUUCCCUGUCUGGACGCUGCUGUAAAGUCAGGAGAGACUAAAUGGAAACCACGGAUUCCUAGAUGCGGCUCCCGUGAACCUUUGGGCUAUUUGGGGGGAACCUUUGCAGUGUUUGAACUUCUAGGCCCUCUCCUGCUUUCCACAGACAAUGUUGCCAGACACAUUAGGGGGCUCCGUAAAUAUUUGAGCACUUCUUAAUAUGUCAAAAUGUCCAGAUUCAGAGACAGGAAGAAGCACAGCGCUCCCAGCAUCCAACUCUGGCGGAGCUCAGCAAGCCUGGGCAGGGGGUUGGCAGGUGUAGAAGGCACUUUUACCACUGAGGAUUCAUCAGUAUUUCCUUCCAGCUCACAUUCUGCGGUAGAUUUAAAUGCUUGAAAUCCUCUCACAGUCCCUCAUCACCUAUACGAUGAAAUUCAAGCUCCUUAGCACAAUCUGGAAGCCCCUUCGUGGUUUGGAGGUUGUCUAACUGACCAGGUUCAACUGCCUCUCCUUGCCUGGAACUUGCCAGGCUCGCGAAUUCAGAACAUUUCCUUGUGAAAGUGUUAUCAGCAUUCUCAUUGUGCAAAUGAGGGAACCGCCCAAGUGACUUUCCAAGGUCACCCUGCCGGGUCAAGAAUGGUGCCAGGAAUUGAACCGAAGCUGUCCGAUUGCAGAGAUCACACCAUGCUAUGGUGCCUCUCAGGAGAAGCUCUGGAAACGCCACCUCCGUCAAUGAGGACAGGUCCCAGGCCAGUGUCUAAAGCACAGAGGAAAUGUUAAGUGCUCCAAUGGCUGUGGACCUAGCAUGAUCUUCCCAUCUCCCUGGCUCUUGCGCCUAACUUCUAGCAGGCCAUCUGCUUCCAGUCUGCUGACUUGAGCUGAGAUCCUGCCCUCACCCCCAGAAUGUUGCCUCUUGAUCACUGAUAGUGCACAGACAUCUUUGGGAAGGUUCAUAGGGAGGCUGGUUCACUCAGCUCGCAGCAACUGAGCACCCAGUUACUGAGGGUACGUCCUGAAUGGUGGGAAUUGAAAUUCCUGUGGGCUCCCGCGCAGUGGAGCCUCCUGAAGAGACCCCUGAACUGCUAACAGACAACCAGCCGGUGGGAAAGGUGGGGCCUCGCUGGUGCUCAAAAAUAAUGGCACUUCUCGUGCACCCUUUUCACUCAUUCAUUCUUAGAGCCAACAAGUCUUGAGUGCACAUUCAGUGCCAGGUACUCUCAGGCACCAGACACAGCAUUUAGUAAGGGUGCGUGCCACGCACACAGCUCCGGGACUCGCGUUUCUCUCUCCACCGAAUCUUGGAGGUCGCUCUCAGCACACACCACUUUGUCUUACCAGAACCAUGAUUUUCCUAGCCAGCCUCCCGUAGUCUUUUACCGUUUCCGAGAGGGCUGCGGUGCGUACGCUUGCACAACUUCCUUGUGCCCGUGCGCAUGUCUUCCUGUGGGAUCAUUUCCGAAAGGGAACUUGCUGGGUCAAAGGCUGUGGGCGCUUGUCACUGUGAUAAAUACGGCCCGACCGCCCUCCGCUCCCACCAGCGGGGGCUGUUUUCCCGAAGCGUCACCGGCACCCUCUUCACAACGCCCCCAUGGAGGCCCCAGACGUGGAGGGACAGAGAUAAGCCCUCCCUGCUGUGCCCUGUCUGGAUUCCUGACCCACAGACUGCAUGAGCAGGAUCAAAUGGCUGCUGCUCUAUGCCUCCGUGAAGUGGCUGGUUACGCGGCAGUAGGCAGCUGGAACAGCCCCUUCCUAAACUUUUGGCACAGCUCUCCACUUGGUGAGACAAAAGUGGGCCUACCUGUGCUCCCUGCUGCCCAACUGCAACUGUUAGCCCAACUGCAGCUGGCCAGUGUCCUUCCAGGAUGUUCCUGGGGAGCCUCCGUCAUCCCACCCAUCGGCAGGCCACCUCGGAUGCAGAAAAGGCCCCGGUGUGUGUGCAGAAACCACACUCUUCGGGAACCCCCGGCACAUGCCGUUCACGCCCGUUAGGAUAAAACAGUUGCCACAGCUUCACAUAGCGAGUCUGGGAAAGGCACAGAUCGCUCCUAAUUUAUCUUCUUGGUGGAGACUGAUAGCGGUCAGCAUGAGCGGUGAGCCUACUUAGCAGUUGUGGUGAUCCAUGGGAGGUAUGUCACUCGCUCAUUUGUCACCUAAUCCUUGCUGAGCACCUGCUCUGUGCCAGGUUGUGAAAAAGCCCUGGUGACAGAGGAAUAAAUGGAUGAGGCCACUGCCUGCCAUCAGCCCUAGUUCAGGGCUGGGGCAGACGGGGCAAGGAUACCGAAGGGUGACGCGAACGGGUGACAUUCCAGUGUUGGUUUUUUAAGUUCGUUAAUUCAUUUAGAGAGAGCGAGCGCACAUGUGAGCGGGGGAGGGGGGGAGGGAAAGAGAGAGAGAAUCCCAAGCAGGCUCUGUGCUGUCACCGCAGAGCCCAGUGUGGGGCUGGAUCCCGUGAACCGUGUAAUCAUGACCUGAGCUGAAACCAAGAGUCGGACGCCGAACCAACUGGGCCACCCAGGCGCCCCUAUGGGAACGUUCCCGUGUUGAUAUGAGGAGGAAAUAGGCAAACUGGGCCAAGAUGGUUUGGUAAUCAUAGUGCCUUUUUGCAGUGCAUCGUAUGGCCUGCGCCUCCCUCGGGAGCAUGAGGUAGGCAAGACAUCCAUUCGUAUACUGAUUUCGCAGCCGGACUGGGGCUGGGGGGUGGCAGGGGAAGGGAGGCGAUUCAGGAUAUAUUCCCAGGACAUUGAAACAUACUGUGUAUUCAUUCGCUAGGGCUGCCACAACAAAGUACUACAGACCGGUCCUCACAUGACCCCCUGUGCGCAUGCGUGCGCGCGCAUAUAUAUAUACACACACACACACACACACACACACACACACUCCUUGUGGGUCCAGAUUUUCUCUUCUUCUGAAGUAGCCCGUCAGAUUGGGUCAGGGCCACCCAUGUCACCUCAUUUCACCUCACUUGCCUCUUUAAAGACUAUCUCCAAAUACAGCCCCAUUCUGAGGUCCCGGACUUCAACAUAUGAAUUUUGGGGUGACACAACUCUGCCCAGAAACACACUGUUGCCUAGUUUGGACUGAGGCCACCGUAUGUAGCAAGUCUCUGUGCCCUGCGGUGACCGUUGCCAACAUCCAGCCUAAAAGAAGUUGGAGAUCCAAAGGAACAUUGAUUCGGGACAAGGAUGUGUGGGGUGACGACACUUGCCCUGGGCCCCGUGGGUGGCUGCACGCGAAGCUGUCUAAAGGGCACCCGUGCUCUCGCCAGCACUAUUCAGUCACCAAACGAUGGAACUACCCACGGAUGAAUGGAUAAACCCACACGAUGGGGUAUUAUUUGGCCAUUAAAAAAGUGGGAUGAAAAUGUUCCGGAAGCAGGCAGACGUGAUGAUCGGCAUUUGUGCCAGACCCUUAGUCCACCCUCACCAGUGCUCCUUGAUGGGUUCACUCUUUGGGCACUGAAAUAUAUUUAUUUAAAUGGGAAACUCUAUGUGACUAU